rnacentral:rRNA from 1 species
UACGUAGGGGGCAAGCGUUGUCCGGAUUUAUUGGGCGUAAAGCGCUCGCAGGCGGUCCGAUGCGUCGUGCGUGAAAGACCCCGGCUCAACUGGGGAGGGUCGUGCGAUACGGUCGGACUCGAGGCCAGUAGGGGGACGCGGAAUUCCGGGUGUAGUGGUGGAAUGCGUAGAGAUCCGGAGGAACACCAGCGGCGAAGGCGGGUUGCCGGGCUGACACUGACGCUGAGGCGCGAAAGCUAGGGGAGCAAACGGG